UCUCAAAUGUCUUAGUGCUAUCAAUCAGGCUAUGAUCUCGGUCUUAUUAAAAAGCCACAUUAGCAGAUCUGAAAAUACUGUAAGACAUCUGCCUAGCUAUAAAACGAAAAGUUUUACUUGGAUGGUUACAAUUACACAAUGUAGUUCUGUAAUUUCACGAUUUAAUAAACAUCACUAUAACUAAAACGCUACAUUAUAUUUAUGUAUAUACAGUUUGGGAAACAUUCCCGAAAGCAUUUCACAACUGAUGAUACAACAAGUGUCAUUUUUGGGAGCUAUAGUCAAACUGUAUGGUUAGGUUAAAUAUCAGAUUCUAUGAAUUUGUGGCUGUGCCAACUAGUGACCACUCUGCAGAGCUGCCUCCAGAACAAGAUUCAUGACGAAAACCGCUAACCUGCAAAGAAUUUCCUGACCAGGACCGAAACUGUAACAGGUUGGUAGAGAGUACAGCGAAACCGGCACACCUGCUAAACUUCAUAAUAUCACACAUACCUGGGUGAACGACGUUGAAGGCAUCUGCGAAUCCUUGCGUCGCUCAGACAGCUGCUCUGCUUGGUCCCACACCUCAGUGGCGAACAGGAAGUUGGAGGUGACCUGGACGUAGCUGGCAGCCAUCUGGUGGAUGCGCUGGGGGAUUGUUACAGAGGAGCUGCCGCUGGAUGUGCCUGACGAGUAGCUACCAGCACUACCUGGGGACAGCUUGGGAGAGACUGGCGAGGGCAUGCCUGCCGCUUUACUGGAAGACAGAGAGAUACAGAUGGCUGGAGAGGGAGCUUGGGUGUUGCUCAAGGAAUUCUGAAAAACAAAUUGAAAUGCAGAACAAACGUUUGCCAUUUGUUAUAAACAAAUAUAAGCAAUGCAAAUUGACUAUCAUUCUCCUCAUCCAUACAACACUACAUUCAAAGAACACACAUUUGAAGUGACAAUAUCACAACUCCUAUGAACUUGCACCAAGGAAAAUAAAUUACCUUCAGAUGCUCUGUGAGUGUUUUAGAAUAUUUCAGUGCACUCUCUUUUCUCAGCUUGAACAGUCGCAGGUAGAGGAGGGACUGGCAACGCAGGCUGGAGCGGCAGGGAGGGAUGGAUGAGCGUUAGCAGUGACUCAAUGAGCAGGGGAACAUCGACGCUCCAGUCCAGACACUCUAAAUGGAAUCUAAGCUAUGAGCUAUGAGUCAGGACACCUACCACAACACAGCUAGCCGUUUGUCUGCUGACGUAGCGUCUGGGGCCAUGUAGCUCUUUAACUUCAUAGUGUACCUGAAAACACACACAACGAGAGACCUUAAAGACCGGUUCCCAGCAUUCUAAGGUUUCAUAAUAAUAAUAAUGUUAAUACUGUAAAUUCCGUGAAUAAUUUGUCCAUUUAUGCAAUGCUGAGUCUAUGGUGUCUAUGAAAUGUAAU